rnacentral:rRNA from 1 species
UGGGGAAUUUGGACAAUGGCGCAAGCCUGAUCCAGCCAUGCCGCGUGCGGGAAGAAGGCCUUCGGGUUGUAAACCGCUUUUGUCAGGGAAGAAAUCUUCUGAGUUAAUACCUCGGGAGGAUGACGGUACCUGAAGAAUAAGCACCGGCUAACUACGUGCCAGCAGCCGCGGUAAUACGUAGGGUGCAAGCGUUAAUCGGAAUUACUGGGCGUAAAGCGUGCGCAGGCGGUUUUGUAAGACAGAGGUGAAAUCCCCGGGCUCAACCUGGGAACUGCCUUUGUGACUGCAAGGCUUGAGUGCGGCAGAGGGGGAUGGAAUUCCGCGUGUAGCAGUGAAAUGCGUAGAUAUGCGGGGGAACACCGAUGGCGAAGGCAAUCCCCUGGGCCUGCACUGACGCCCAUGCACGAAAGCGUGGGGGAGCAAAACAGGAUUAGAUACCCUGGUAGUCCACGCCCUAAACGAUGUCAACUGGUUGUUGGGAAAGGUUCCUUCUCAGUAACGUAGCUAACGCGUGAAGUUGACCGCCUGGGGAGUACGGCCGCAAGGUUGAAACUCAAAGAAUUGACGGGGUCAUAGCUGUUUCCU